rnacentral:rRNA from 1 species
UACGUAGGUGGCGAGCGUUGUUCGGAUUUAUUGGGCGUAAAGGGUCCGCAGGGGGUUUGCUAAGUCUGAUGUGAAAUCCCAAGGCUCAACCUUGGAACUGCAUUGGAAACUGGUGAACUAGAGUAUCGGAGAGGUAAAUGGAAUUCCUGGUGUAGCGGUGGAAUGCGUAGAUAUCAGGAAGAACACCGAGAGCGAAGGCAAUUUACUGGACGAUAACUGACCCUCAGGGACGAAAGCGUGGGGAGCGAACAGG